rnacentral:tRNA from 1 species
GCAGCCAUGGCGGAAUUGGUAGACGCGCAAGUUUCAGACGCUUGUAUUGAAAGAUGUGGGGGUUCAAGUCCCUCUGGCUGCACCA